rnacentral:rRNA from 1 species
CCAGACUCCUACGGGAGGCAGCAGUGAGGAAUAUUGGUCAAUGGGCGGAAGCCUGAACCAGCCAAGUCGCGUGAGGGAAGAAGACCCUGCGGGUCGCAGACCUCUUUGGACGGGGAGCAAGGCCGCCGACGUGUCGGCGGAAGGAGAGUACCCGUAGAACAAGCAUCGGCUAACUCCGUGCCAGCAGCCGCGGUAAUACGUAUGGUGCAAGCGUUAUCCGGAUUUACUGGGUGUAAAGGGAGCGCAGGCGGCACGGCAAGCCUGAUGUGAAAGCCCGCGGCCCAACCGCGGGACUGCAUUGGGAACUACCGGGCUGGAGUGCCGGAGAGGUAGGCGGAAUUCCUGGUGUAGCGGUGAAAUGCGUAGAUAUCAGGAGGAACACCGGUGGCGAAGGCGGCCUGCUGGACUGCGACUGACGUUGAGGCCCGAAAGCGUGGGGAGCAAACAGGAUUAGAUACCCGUGUA